AAUGAAGUGCCUGAUUAAAGGAUUAUCUUGAUAGGGUAAAUUAAGUAAAAUUAAUUUUUACCUUCAUUA
rnacentral:tRNA from 2 species